GACGAACGCUGGCGGCGUGCUUAACACAUGCAAGUCGAACGAUGAACUGGAGCUUGCUCCAGGGAUUAGUGGCGAACGGGUGAGUAACACGUGAGUAACCUGCCCUUGACUCUGGGAUAAGCGUUGGAAACGACGUCUAAUACCGGAUAUGACUUCUGACGGCAUCGUCUGGGAGUGGAAAGAAUUUUGGUCAAGGAUGGACUCGCGGCCUAUCAGGUAGUUGGUGAGGUAAUGGCUCACCAAGCCGACGACGGGUAGCCGGCCUGAGAGGGAGACCGGCCACACUGGGACUGAGACACGGCCCAGACUCCUACGGGAGGCAGCAGUGGGGAAUAUUGCACAAUGGGCGAAAGCCUGAUGCAGCAACGCCGCGUGAGGGACGACGGCCUUCGGGUUGUAAACCUCUUUUAGUUGGGAAGAAGGGAGCUUGCUCUUGACGGUACCAGCAGAAAAAGCACCGGCUAACUACGUGCCAGCCGCCGCCGUAAAAC
rnacentral:rRNA from 1 species